AUUGAACGCUGCGGCCGGCCUAACACAUGCAAGUCGCACGGGUGGCGGACGGGUGAGUAAUGUCUGGGAAACUGCCUGAUGCAGGGGGAUAACUACUGGAAACGGUAGCUAAUACCGCCUACCAUCGGAUGUGCCCAGAUGGGAUUAGCUAGUCGGUGGGGUAACGGCUCACCUAGGCGACGAUGCCUAGCUGGUCUGAGAGGAUGACCAGCCACACUGGAACUGAGACACGGCCCAGACUCCUACGGGAGGCAGCAGUGGGGAAUAUUGGACAAUGGGCGAAAGCCUGACCGAGCAACGCCGCGUGUAUGAAGAAGGUCUUCGGGUUGUAAAGGUCUGUUAGUAGGGAGGCGGUAUCCAAAGAAGAAGCACCGGCUAACUCCGUGCCAGCCGCCGCGGUAAUUC
rnacentral:rRNA from 1 species